UGGGUGGGUAGGGGAGCAGGGCAGGAGGAGGGUAUAGGGGACUUUCGUGAUAGCAUUUGAAAUGUAAAUGAAGAAAAUACCUAAUAAAAAAUUGGAAAAACAAACAAAAAAAACAAAGGAAGAAGAAGGAGGAGGAGGAGGAGGAGGAGAAGGAGAAGAAGAAGAAGAAGAAGAAGAAGAAGAAGAAGAAGAAGAAGAAGAAGAAGAAGAGGAGAACCCAAAAGGAAAAGAUACAUAGAACCUACUAAAGUUGAACGAGGAGGAUAUUGAAAACUUAAACAGAACUGUGAGACUGGCAAGAAGACUAAGUGAAAGAUCCCCAAUUACAGACAGAUUUGCCAUCAAGCUUUUAUGAGACCUUAAAGAAUAACUGCAUAUAUGCUCUUCAGAUUGCUCCAAAAAUAGAAAAAGGAGGAUGCCUACACGAGCUUUCUGAAGAAAGAUUUACUAAUUAGAGUUGUCCCAAUAUGGAUGGAUUGUGCCUCUCAGUUGUCAAUGAUGUUAUUGGAAAGAUUGAAAUUAGAAUGCUGGGAGAAGAGACCCUGGCUUCUGUGAAACCUAGGCUGUCCCCAAACUUGCAGUGAUCUUCUGGCUUCUACCGCCCAAGUGUUGGAAUUACAGAUGUACAAUAUCAUGCCUAGCUUGACACAGGAAAUCCCAAACACACGCAGAAGGUAUCUUAAGAGUAUUUGACGAAAAGAUUUGACUUAAAAUUGGAACAUAAGUGUUAAAUUGUUACUCACUACAGUGGAGGACAGAAGACAAGGAAGGAUGUUGGAUGAAGAAAUAGAGAAGGCAGACAAACUGGAUAACCAGAGCCUUGAUAUCUUUUCCUAAACGACAAGCCCAAGUUUGCUGGCUGAGAAAGAUGGACAGAUGUGAACAAAAUAAAAAAGGAGCAUUACUUCUGGUGUGGGAAGUUGUAUUGGUUUAGUUUUCUGUCAUCUUGAGACAAACUAGAGACACCUGGAAAAUGAAAUAUCAACGGAGCCUCCAUCAGACUGAUUUGUGGCAACAGCUGUUAUCUUUAAAAAUAUUUUGUGUAUGGAUUUUUGUCUGCAUGUAUAUGUGUGCAUCACAUACAAGCAAUUCCCACAGAGGUCAGAAGAGUGUAUUGGAUACCCUGGAACUCCAGUGAGAGAUGGCUGAGUCUCUAUGUGGGUGUUGGGAAUCAAGCCUGGGUCUUCUGGAAGAGAAGCCAGUGCUCUUAACUUCAGGGUCAUCUCUCCAGUAGGCAGCAUUCCUCCAUGGUCUCUGCUUCAGUUUCUGUCUCUAGAUUCCUGCUUGCAUCCAUCCCUGGCCUGAUGCUCUGUGGCCUGUAAGUGCAAUUCACAUAAACCCUUUCCUCCCUUAGGUUAUUGUGGGUCAUGGUGUUUAUUACAGAAACAACAACAAUAACCAACUGGGACAAUGGCCCAGAAUGACACUUCUGUUAUUAUUCACAAACCACUUUUCUAAAACCUAUGCCUUCUGAUUUAAUGCUGGGCACAUGCUAUUAAACAGUGAAGUGGCUUCAAGAGUUUGAAGUUUUUUUUUUUUUUUC
rnacentral:lncRNA from 1 species